GAACGGGUGAACCCUUUUUUGAAAUUUAACACCACCACGACCCUUCCCUUACUAGCUGCAGUCUCCCAGGGCAGUACCCGACAGUCUGUUAUUAAAUGUUAACCGAGCCGCACGCACACUCCGGUUAGGCAGUCUGUUAGCCGCGUAAAUUUCGAAAUUAUGUCUACUUUAUAAUUUGGUCGACAACGAGCAAACUUUGAACCAUCAGUUAUCAGCGGUCCUGUUAAAAGUAAACGGAACCUCAUUUACAGCCGUCAAUUCCUGGGGGUCCUGCUGAAAUACAACAUUUCUCAUUAUUGGAUUAAGACAGUUGUGGUUAUAGAAACUUGAAUAAUGGCAACCGAUUCUUACAAUUUUCACUGACUGGCAACAUAUCUUCUGUUUUUAAUUUAAUAAUCGUUCGUGCGACCAAUUUUUGUGACAUGCGCUGAGUGGCUACAAGUCAUCUUUUUUUAAUUAGAAUAGUCGUGUUUGGAAGUAUUUAUUUAUAGCAACCAAUCUUAUAGCUGCUCAUUUCAACUAUUGUAGUUAUCAAAUGGAGUAUUUGCUGUCAAUUCAUAAUCUGGAAUAAUUAAGAAAUUACAAAUUAUACCGCACUAUCAACACUAAACAAUUAAAGAAUAACAUAAAAAUAAGUUACAGUGGUUACAGACAAAAAAAUCAUUAUAAAGUUAUACAUUAUAAUGCGAAAUAAAUUGGAUACUCAACGUUUCUGGGCUCAUAGAAGUUAUUUAAGUACACACUUAUGUUGGUCUGUUAUUAAAUAAUACUAUCUAUAAUAUAAUCGUUUUACUUUUGGUGUGUACAUGCAUAUAAUAAAUAUACAUAUAGACACUGGAUUAAAAGUGGACGCCUUGCAAAGAGCUAGUGGCCGUCUUUGUUAAAUCAACCGAUUUAUGGAGCGCUUUCCAUGCAGCUUAUAACAAUUAAAAAACUGGGAAAGCUACCUAUCCCUAAGAAAAGAUGCUUGGAAUUGGGAAUACCACUCAAAAAAUUCUUCGAUGCGAAUUUUAGAUGCAUUUAGCAAUUAUAUGUUUUGGUUAAUUUGACACAUUUUGUUUAUUCAUGCGAUUUGUACGUCUUAAUUUCAUAGUAUAUUAUAAUAAUAUAGUAUCAUAACUUACUAGAUCUAUGAACUUGUCAACAUUUAUUGUGUUUUAAAUAAUAACAUUGAUAUUAAAUAUCCAUAAUCAAUGUGAAUACCAAGAUGGAGUUUUGCUCAAGUGACAAGUCUAUAAAACCUAUAACCUUACUUAUAAAAUGUAUGCACAUCAAAUAUCAAAAUUAAAGUAUUAUGUCUUUGUUCUGAGAAACUUAUAAAUGUGUAGUUUUGUGUUUUAAUAUAUUGGUAUCUGAAUUCAAAGAAAAAAUAUAAAAUUUUUUAUGAAAAAAUUGAAUCUUCAAUCAUCAUUUACUGAAUCAACAAUAGUAUGUUCAAUAUUAAUAUGGACUAUCUCAACUUAAAUUGAUAUUUGUUAUUGUCUACAACUACACUACUACCAACGUCAAAUUUGGUGUAUUAUAUUAUUGUAGUCAAUCAGUCUAAUCUUAUUCCAUCAAUACAUUGUCAAAUGUUGUGGUAUUCAAUUUUCAGUAAAUUUAUAGGUGUUUUAUUUUAAGUUACUGUGGCACACUAUUGCAGAUAACGAAUUUCCAUUAAGUCAGUAAGAAGAAAAAGAUGGAUUCACAAGUUCAAAUCAAAUAUUAGACAACUAUAUAUAUUUAGUUAUUCGGCUAAAAAUGUAAUUCAAUAAAAUAAUUUAAAAGUACUUUAUCAUUUUAAAAGUGACAUAAAGUUUUUAAACACACAUAUACUUAACAUAUCUAUAAUUAUUAUACAUUAUUUAUUAAUUAUUAAUGAUGAAUUCUUUAUUUAAUAUUAAUUUAAUCUAAAAUGCUGCUGAGAAUGUUAAUAUUUCUAAAAUAUGUUAUUGUCUUAAUCCAAAUCUUGAAAUUAUUUUCAUGAUGGCAUAGUUUUGGCAUUAGCUAUUACAGAAUUUAUUGACAACUUUCUAGUGGUUUA